UACGGGGGGGGCAAGCGUUGUUCGGAAUUACUGGGCGUAAAGGGCUCGUAGGUGGCCAACUAAGUCAGACGUGAAAUCCCUCGGCUUAACCGGGGAACUGCGUCUGAUACUGGAUGGCUUGAGUUCGGGAGAGGGAUGCGGAAUUCCAGGUGUAGCGGUGAAAUGCGUAGAUAUCUGGAGGAACACCGGAGGCGAAGGCGGCUCACUGGGGGUCUUCUGACGCUGAGGAACGAAAGCCAGGGGAGCGAACGGG
rnacentral:rRNA from 1 species